rnacentral:rRNA from 1 species
GGUUAAGCGACUAAGCGUACACGGUGGAUGCCCUGGCAGUCAGAGGCGAUGAAGGACGUGCUAAUCUGCGAUAAGCGCCGGUAAGGUGAUAUGAACCGUUAUAACCGGCGAUUUCCGAAUGGGGAAACCCAGUGUGACUCGUCACACUAUCAUUAACUGAAUCCAUAGGUUAAUGAGGCGAACCGGGGGAACUGAAACAUCUAAGUACCCCGAGGAAAAGAAAUCAACCGAGAUUCCCCCAGUAGCGGCGAGCGAACGGGGAGGAGCCCAGAGCCUGAAUCAGCAUGUGUGUUAGUGGAAGCGUCUGGAAAGGCGCGCGAUACAGGGUGACAGCCCCGUACACAAAAGCGCAUGUGCUGUGAGCUCGAUGAGUAGGGCGGGACACGUGGUAUCCUGUCUGAAUAUGGGGGGACCAUCCUCCAAGGCUAAAUACUCCUGACUGACCGAUAGUGAACCAGUACCGUGAGGGAAAGGCGAAAAGAACCCCGGCGAGGGGAGUGAAAAAGAACCUGAAACCGUGUACGUACAAGCAGUGGGAGCACCCUUUGGGGUGUGACUGCGUACCUUUUGUAUAAUGGGUCAGCGACUUAUAUUCUGUAGCAAGGUUAACCGAAUAGGGGAGCCGGAGGGAAACCGAGUCUUAACCGGGCGUUAAGUUGCAGGGUAUAGACCCGAAACCCGGUGAUCUAGCCAUGGGCAGGUUGAAGGUUGGGUAACACUAACUGGAGGACCGAACCGACUAAUGUUGAAAAAUUAGCGGAUGACCUGU